GGCGAUGAGGCACAGUGAUAAUGCGACUGCUUGUGACUGCGACGCAGAAAGUUUCGGGUUCAAUUCUCGAUGCGUCACCU